GCGCCAAUGGUUUAGUGGUAAAAUACAGCUUUGCCAUCUUCAUGACGUAGCUGUGCCGGGGGUUCGAUUCCCCCUUGGCGCA
rnacentral:tRNA from 1 species